CUCUCCCUACCCUCUUCCCAGCCCUUCCGUAGAGUCCCGCUUUCCCUGGACCGGAGGCUGCCAUCUCCAGUCCUGCCCACUCCAACGCUGGCUGGUGCCUGGGCCCGGGACGCUCCGUACGCCCCCUGCCAGGGUGUGGAGCCGCAUUGGUGCAGGAUCAGGUGGGACAGCCCAAAGACUCCAGGCCAAGUUCCUGGGGGACUCCGCGGAGAUGGAAGACGAUUCUCGAAGCUCUCCAUUUCCUUAAUUUUGAGAUCCACAACCAGAAUCAGAUCUUAGCAUACCCCUAGAAGAUGAGUAGAACAUUUGACACCAGAGGAGAAGCUUAUACAAGAAAAGAAUUGCAAAAUGUUGCUAAUAUAUAUUAUCACCAGAGGAUUUCUAUGUGGGAGUGGAUUCUAAACCUGACAAAAAGGAAUGUAAAGUUGAAAUUAUUGAUUUAUUUGUAGUACGAGAGAUUCUGGUUUCAGUGUGUUAGCUCAAUCAGCCGGGAGUGGCUUUUUAGUUUGCUGAGUUGGUUGAUGAAACCAUACUUAACAGUGGCCUUCAUUAAAUUAGGUUAAGAUACUA